rnacentral:rRNA from 1 species
AGGCCAAUCAAACCCGGAGAUAUCUCGUUCUCCCCGAAAUAGCUUUAGGGCUAGCGUCGCGCGUUCACCGCCGGAGGUAGAGCACCGGAUGGACGAGGGGGCUUCGCCGCCUACCGAAUCCAACCGAACUCCGAAUGCCGGCGGCCCAGAGCGCGGCAGUCAGAGCAUGUGGGCUAAGCUGUGUGCUCGAGAGGGAAACAGCCCGGACCGCCCGCUAAGGUCCCCAAGUUCCAGCCGAGUGGCAAAGGAUGUGCGUCCGCCCAGACAACCAGGAUGUUGGCUUAGAAGCAGCCAUCCAUUCAAAGAGUGCGUAACAGCUCACUGGUCGAGUGGACAUGCGCCGACAAUACACGGGGCUAAGCUGGACACCGAAGCGGCGGGAUUUUAUCUAUAUAGAAUCGGUAGGGGAGCUUCCCAUGGGCGGUGAAGCCGCCGGGCGACCGGCGGUGGAGCGCAUGGGAGUGAGAAUGCUGGCAUGAGUAGCGAGAGACGAGAGAGUAACUCGUCCGCCGUGAACCCGAGGUUUCCUGGGCAAGGCUAAUCCUCCCAGGGUCAGUCGGGGGCUAAGGCGAGGCCGGGAGGCGUAGCCGACGCGCAGCAGGCAGACAUUCCUGCACCGCGCACGCGGCGCUACGACCGACGGGGCGACGGAUGGGGGUGGCUCGGCGGGGUUCUGGACGUCCCCGUGAUGGAGCGCGGCCCGCGGACCAGGGAAAUCCGGUCCGCACGAGGGCGAGGCUCCGGACGAAGCGAUCAAGCGAAGCGAGUGAGCCCGAGGUCCCUAGAAAAACCCCUAGGCAGGCGCGUGCGCGCCCGUACCGCAAACCGACACAGGUGGGUGGGUAGAACAUACCGAGGCGAUCGGGUCAACCAUGGUCAAGGAACUCGGCACAAUGGCCCCGUAACUUCGGGAGAAGGGGUGCCCGCGCGUACGUGAACCGGCUUGCCCGGGGAGCGGAGGCGGGCCGCAGUGGAGAGGCCCAAGCGACUGUUUACCAAAAACACAGGACUCUGCAGAAGCCGCAAGGCGACGUAUAGGGUCUGACGCCUGCCCGGUGCCGGAAGGUCACGCGGAGGAGUUAGCCGCAAGGCGAAGCCCCGAAGCCAAGCCCCGGUAAACGGCGGCCGUAACUAUAACGGUCCUAAGGUAGCGAAAUUCCUUGUCGGGUAAGUUCCGACCUGCACGAAAGGCGCAACGACUUGGGCGCUGUCUCGACCAUGGACCCGGUGAAAUUGCACUGGUCGUGAAGAUGCGACUUACCCGCGGAAGGACGGAAAGACCCCGUGAACCUUCACUGCAGCUUGGCAUUGGCCGCUGGUCCCGCGUGUAGAGGAUAGGCAGGAGGCACAGAUCCGGAGGCGCCAGCCCCCGGGGAGCCGCCCUUGGAAUACUGCCCUCGCGCGACCGGCGUCCUAACCCGAGGCCGUCAACCGGCUCGGGGACCGUGCCAGGCGGGCAGUUUGACUGGGGCGGUCGCCUCCUAAAGGGUAACGGAGGCGCGCGAAGGUCCGCUCGGGACGGUCGGCAACCGUCCUUUUGAAUGCAAGAGUACAAGCGGGCUUGACUGCGAGGCCCACAAGCCGAGCAGGUGCGAAAGCAGGCUCUAGUGAUCCGGCGGCCCCGAGUGGGUGGGCCGUCGCUCAACGGAUAAAAGGUACUCCGGGGAUAACAGGCUGAUCUUGCCCAAGAGUCCACAUCGACGGCAAGGUUUGGCACCUCGAUGUCGGCUCAUCGCAUCCUGGGGCUGGAGCAGGUCCCAAGGGUACGGCUGUUCGCCGUUUAAAGCGGUACGCGAGCUGGGUUCAGAACGUCGUGAGACAGUUCGGUCCCUAUCCUCCG